rfam:Triticum aestivum genome assembly, contig: Triticum_aestivum_CS42_TGACv1_scaffold_320400_4BL
CAACUACUCCCUCCGUCUGAAAAUACUUGUCAUCAAAAUGGAUAAAAAGAGAUGUAUCUAAAACUAAAAUACGUUUAGAUACAUACCUUUUUAUCCAUUUUGAUGACAAGUAUUUCCGGACAGAGGGAGUAUUUA